UGCCAGCAGCCGCGGUAAUACGAAGGGACCUAGCGUAGUUCGGAAUUACUGGGCUUAAAGAGUUCGUAGGUGGUUGAAAAAGUUGGUGGUGAAAUCCCAGAGCUUAACUCUGGAACUGCCAUCAAAACUUUUCAGCUAGAGUUUGAUAGAGGAAAGCAGAAUUUCUAGUGUAGAGGUGAAAUUCGUAGAUAUUAGAAAGAAUACCAAUUGCGAAGGCAGCUUUCUGGAUCAUUACUGACACUGAGGAACGAAAGCAUGGGUAGCGAAGAGGAUUAGAUA
rnacentral:rRNA from 1 species